rnacentral:snRNA from 1 species
AGGAUUGGCUCUGAGGGC